GAUGAAGAACGUAGCGAAAUGCGAUAAGUAAUGUGAAUUGCAGAAUUCAGUGGAUCAUCGAAUCUUUGAACGCACCUUGCGCCCUUUGGACAUUCCGAAGGGCAUGCCUGUUUGAGUAUCAUGAACACCUCAACUCUCACGGCUUGUCCGUGAUGAGCUUGGACUUUGGGGGUCUUGCCGGCCUGUGGUCGGCUCCUCUCAAAUGGAUCAGCUUGCCAGUGUUUGGUGGCAUCACAGGUGUGAUAACUAUCUGCGCUUGUGGUUUUCCAUCAGAUAACCUUCAGUGAUAUGGAGGUUCGCUGGAGCUCACAAAUGUCUCUCCUUAGUGAGGACAGCUCUUUGAACGUUUGAUCUCAAAUCAGGUAGGACUACCCGCUGAACUUAAGCAUAUCAAUAAGCGGAGGA
rnacentral:misc_RNA from 1 species